rnacentral:rRNA from 1 species
UUGAACUGAAGAGUUUGAUCCUGGCUCAGAUUGAACGCUGGCGGCAUGCCUUACACAUGCAAGUCGAACGGCAGCACGGGCUUCGGCCUGGUGGCGAGUGGCGAACGGGUGAGUAAUACAUCGGAACAUGUCCUGUAGUGGGGGAUAGCCCGGCGAAAGCCGGAUUAAUACCGCAUACGAUCCACGGAUGAAAGCGGGGGACCUUCGGGCCUCGCGCUAUAGGGUUGGCCGAUGGCUGAUUAGCUAGUUGGUGGGGUAAAGGCCUACCAAGGCGACGAUCAGUAGCUGGUCUGAGAGGACGACCAGCCACACUGGGACUGAGACACGGCCCAGACUCCUACGGGAGGCAGCAGUGGGGAAUUUUGGACAAUGGGGGCAACCCUGAUCCAGCAAUGCCGCGUGUGUGAAGAAGGCCUUCGGGUUGUAAAGCACUUUUGUCCGGAAAGAAAUCCUCUGCCCUAAUAUGGCGGGGGGAUGACGGUACCGGAAGAAUAAGCACCGGCUAACUACGUGCCAGCAGCCGCGGUAAUACGUAGGGUGCGAGCGUUAAUCGGAAUUACUGGGCGUAAA